AUGUCAGAAACCAGGUCUAAAGUACCUAUAUUCAAUCAAGACUGGCAAAUUCUUAUCAAGUUGGAAGCUUCCAGAAAUAGAAGAACAAAAAGAUGUGGAUACACGUUUAAAGCAAGGAAGAUGGAGGGUAACCUACUAUUCAGAAGGGGAGGUAGUAGUGGAAGACAAAUGCAGCAUCUUACAAUUCAGGAAGCGCUAGUGGAGGCUUUGAACAAGUCAACAGAAUUGGGUCUUCAUAAAGUUGUCAUUUUGAGUAUUGAUAAGAAGUUGGUAGACAUGGGUAACAAUCUCAAGAGGACAACAUGGUAAGACCAAGCCUUAUUAACGGAUCUUCACAACUUUCACCAGCAAGGCAUGAUCACUCAAUUUUUGCUUGUAACUAGAGUGGUGAUAGCUCAGGUUUUAAAUAUAGCAGUUAAUGUUGCGAGUUUCCCAGUCCACUGUUUUCAGUAGCCAAUGCCUAAUAUUAGCUAAACAUUGGUUAUAGUACUUUCUUCUAACUUCUAUAUAUGUUUGAUCCUUUUAUCAAAAAAAAAAAAAAAAGUUUUGGAAAAUGGUGGUAGUCAUAUUAUUAAUAAGUAUAAUAAUUACAAAAUUUAAAAGUUUUUUUUUAAUUAAUUUUUUUUUUAAUCUAAGAUUGAAUUCUACUAUAACAUAAUCUAAGUGUACAUAUGUGAAACUCUCUCCUGAAAACUUAAACCCCAACUCUUGGCUCUUGGCUUCCACACCCACAAGCACAUAUACAUAUAGAGUGACCAUAACGCCAAUGGUGCACGUGUUUGAAACAAUUUAAAAGAUAAGUCUUUAUAAAAUUUUAAUUGGUAGAGAUACAUUUUACCAAAGUUAUUCGGUCAUAUAUAUAUAUAUAUAUAUAUAACCGAAACCUCUGAAACUCCCACAAUUUUCCACAACAUCAUUUUAAUUUAUAUUAAAAAAAUUAAUUAAUUUUUUAAACUAAAUAGUAAAUGCUACAUGAAACCUUUGACAAACUCGACUAUAGCCUAUAAGUUUUCUAUCAAACACAAAAAUAGAUCUCUUCCGGAAAAAUAUUGAAAACCCCAAACUCCCUCCCCAAUUUUCUUCUUUUUUUCCCACCCAUGACAUAGCCACCGUUGUUUGUUGCCGUCAUUGUCAGCCACCAUAGCCAUCAAGUUUGUAUCUUUUCCACUCUCUCUGUUUAACUUCAACCUGAUAGUUUAAAAAAAAAAAAAAACCCAAUAUAUUUGGUAAAUCCUUCAAUCCAUGGCCCUCUAAAUACUAACACACAAAAAACCCCAAGUAAUACAUUCUAAAUCAUCCUAGAUCAUUAUUUAAAAAAUUAAAAAAAAAUUAAAAAAAAAACAAAUAAACAAAUUAAACUACAUUACUAUGUUUGUGCUGUGCACUAGCAUUGCCAGUUGCUCACCGUAUGUCUAUGGUCGUCCUCUCAACUCCAGCUCCAGUCCAAGCUAAUACCAUUGGUAUAUAUCUCUCUCGUGCUUUGUUUAGUUAUUGUUAAGUGAUUUACUGCUUUUAUUGUCUUUCUUUUGACUUUUGAAAAACCGUGUGCCGUAUAAACUUACUGCUCUCCUCCAACAAUUUAAAUUCCUUGACUUCUAAACAUGUGGCUGUCUAUUGAUUUCAUUAAAAAAAUAAAUAAAAAUAAAACUUGUGGCUGUCAAGUUUAAAGUUUUACAACGUUUUUUUUUUUGGAAAGUCUUAAUGUGUUGUUGAGAGAAAUAAUGUUAUAUAUAAUCUAAUAUAGUAUAUAAUAGCUAUAAUAUAUAUGUAUAUAUAAAAUAGUUAAUGUAUUUAUACAAGGGUAUGACUUUUGAGAUAAAUACAAACAAUUACUUAAUAAUAAUUUAAUUGUUCACACAUUUUUUUUCUUUUUAAAUUAGCCGUAUACAUGAAAACCAUUCACAAUUUGUGCAUAUUCUUUAUAAAAAAAAUGUUCAAGUUUCAAAAGCUAUUGCUCAAUCAUCUUUUCAAAAUGCUAAAAAUGUAUUUGUUAAACCUCUAGAAAGCCUAAUGUCUGGCUUUACAUCAAGCUUUACAUCAAGUUUGUUUCAAUAAACAGCAGAUUUAGCAAUAGUGUUUAUUGAAAUUAUUGAUAGUGUACGAUUUGUAAGAUAAAUUAGAGCAAAAAGUGAAUUUGUGUAGUAAGGCUGUUGUAUGUUUUUUUUUUUUUUUUUUGUUGCAAAAUUGAAUUUGAGUUUUGGCCUUGAGCCAAGUAAACAUACAAAGGUUGUAAUCCUCUUUGCAAAUAGUUUCUCCAUUGUUUUUAAUGUUGCUUUAGUUUCCAACAUUACACUUUUAACGUAACAUUACACUUUCUUUUUCUUUCUCAAUCUUUUUUUUCUUUUAAAUUCUUGGUGGGCAAAUUAGUCUCUCACUAAUUCUUUUACCUUUCUUUUUAAUGUAAUGUUGGUUAAUUAUCCUUUUAUUUAACUAUCCCGUGCAUCGCACAAGUUAGCGACUAGUUUACUAUAGACAUAAAGUCAUUAAUAAUAAUAAAAAUUAGUAUUAUUAUUAUGAAGGUAAAACCAUAAGUGCUUACCAAACACUUAACUUUUUUAAAAACUACUUUUUAAUAAUUUGGCAUAAAUGCACUUUUAGUCCCUACAUUUUGACUUUCUUUUAUUUUAGUUUUACAUUUUAUUUUUACCACUUUUAGUCCAUAAACCAAUUAAUGCCCUUCAUUUAGGUCCUUGAAGCACCAUUUUGUCACCAAACUAACGGGUAAACUGAUGAAUCAAUAAAAUAAUAAAUUUUUUUACACAUUGGUCAAUAAAAUAACGGGAAGAAAUCAGACUCACCAACCAAUAAAAUAAUAAGCUUACGUGAAGCACUUAAAGGAAUCAAGCACACCCAUGUGAUUACCUCUCUAGCGCGCAGGUAAAGAAAUCAAGCACACUGCAGUUGACAUGUGGUUUUCCAGCCCCACAUGUGUAUAAAAUUGACUGUACUAUGCUCCCUCCUCAUAAGUAAGUCCAAGCCUAAAGCAUGCGUAUCUUAACCUUUAAUAUAAAUGAAAAUGGUGGGGACUGAGUUCAGAGGUGGCAGUGGAGGUUAAAGAGCCAUGAAAAGCUUCAGCUUGCAUGUGCUCCUUGGUAGAUGGUUCAUGGCCUUAGCAUCGUUGUUAAUCAUGUCUGUCUCAGGUUCAACGUACAUAUUUAGCAUAUAUUCCAACGACAUAAAAUCAACCCUAGGCUAUGACCAGACAUCGCUCAACUUGGUCAGCUUCUUCAAAGACUUGGGUAGUAACGUUGGAGUCCUAUCUGGACUUAUCAACAAGAUCACACCCCCAUGGGUGGUCCUCUUAAUUGGGGCAAUCAUGAACUUGUUUGGCUACCUUAUGGUAUGGCUUAGUGUCACUGGCUGUGUUGCCAAACCCAAGUGA
rnacentral:sRNA from 1 species